rnacentral:lncRNA from 1 species
UAGCAAACAUUUCAAAUAUUAAAAUAUUUAAACAUAAACAAAAUACAAACAAAGGGGAAGAGCAGAACAAUCAGCAUAUAGCGUAGAAGAGAUGACAGCAUAGAAGAGAUGAAACCUCCUCAACAGCUGACCUCAAUGAGCUCCAAAUGCUCCUACAGGUGAUGGGAAAUGGGAGAGCCACGCUGCAUAAGGUACAGCUGGUGGGUGUAGCUUAUAAAGAAGGUUGGGACAUGAGGGGAAGCUUUGGUGAGUCUUAGGAAGACUGGUGGGAGCCUUUUCUUCUGGCCAGAUCACUUUGGUUCUCUGGGUGAUGAAGUGCUGAAGGCAUUUUAAGCAUUGGUGGCUGUGUAAAGGCGUAACAAGAAGUCUGCCCAAGGAUGAUCCUGUACUGAUUGCAAGAUUGUGGGGUAACAGGCUGGAUCCUAUGUGGUCCUUCCUUGUCUUGGGGGACCCUUGUUAAAGGCACAACAAGAAGCAGUGUAAUCUUUCUCUGAGCCUCCUUCCCAAAGCCUGUUGAGGCAGGAGCUGCUGCUUUGCCAGGCCUGUGUGCAACAUUUAACGCAAGAGGUACUGCGAGGAAAUUGAGCGAGCAUGGAUAUAAAAAUGUGAAUGGAAAGGAUAAAAGAUGGCCUGCUUUCCUGGAAAAUGAAGUCUUCAUUUCAGUACUUAUGUUUUGUCUUCAUCACAACAGUUUCUCAGAUUUGCUUGUGAACUGA